AUUUCCUUUUUCACCUCCUUUUUUCACUUCUUAUAUUUCUUUCUUUCUUUCCACCGUCUUUACCCAAAACCCAGAUAGAACAUGAGCUCGGCGCUACUGCCAAGUCGAAUUGGAGAUGGGUCCGAAGAUGGAAUGUGAUUUGGAGAUGGGAGCACGCAUGGAUCUUCGACUAGAGGAAAUCUCUCAACACUUAGAAGCUUGAAAUUUGCUGUUGUGCUUCCCUGUGAGAAAUUGGUGGUUGUGACAGCAGUAUUAGCUAGAGCUUAGCCUUAGCGUGCAUUGGAUAGGCACUCAAUUCAAAGACUCCGUCGUAUUCUAGGUCCAUGCCCAGAUGAAGUGCCACCGCCAAGACUUUUUUCAUUUGGCUUUUAUAUUGGCACCGCUUCGAAGCUUUUUGGGACGCAAAUAUUUCAAAGCUGCUGCAUUGAACUUUGAAGUUUGCUUAGUCACCUUCGCUGCAAAUUCUCAUCUUUCUUUCUUCCCCUGACACGCUGCAUCCACGAACACAUACUUGUCACCUCUUGAAAUCAAGUCUAGACUGCCUCAUUUGAUCGUCUUGGCCUUUUGCAAGUAUAAUAACCUGUGCAUCAGAUUUGUCUUGGAAUUGGCUGCCACAAAGUGUGUGUUUAAUUUUGACAACUUGAGACUCGCCUUGCAAUUCCACUGCGCAGCUUUCUAUCUUGCCUGUCAUCUUUUGGUGUUAAAAGCCUCAGACUGCCUCUGACCAUUUUGGCCUUCUGCAAACAUAAAGACUUGUGCACCAAAUUUGUUCUUAAUUGGAUGCUUCAAAGCUUGUAUUCAAUUUUAACAAAUUUGUUUGUUGUGCACAAGUUCAAGCAGGACAGGUGAUUGUAGUCACAGUAGUUUUAAAGUCUCGAAGCUUUAUUUUGAGGAUUCGGUGAAGCAUGUAGCUUUGAGUUUCUUUAUGGUUUGAAACUGCUACAGAGACGCUGCUGCCAGGAAUUGAGAGAGCAAGGCUUGUUGCUGCUACAAUAUAGGAAGGCCCGCUGGUGGGAUUUGAAAGCGCAAGGCCUACACCAGAGGCGCCACUGCGAUAUGUUCAUCGGGACGCUGCCCGGCAUGGUUUCAUCGGGACGCUGCCUGGCAUGUUGGUUUUGACAUCAUUGACACCCGAAGGUGCCGCUGUGAGGAGGGCCUGCAACAGAAAAGAGAAGGUGGUGGAGAGCUAUGGAAUGAGGUCCUGAACCUUUUGUCUUCCAAGAUCCUUUGCUGCUUUCUCCUUCUGCUUUUCCACCGUUGCUGUGCUCCGUUGCGUCCUCUUUUUCUUCUUUUCAUGUAGUGUUUUUAUACUGCACCCGAGAUGAGUUUGGCUUGUAUACAACACAGAGGGUUUUGGAGUUCAACUUGAAGUGAACUAGUUGGACAUUUUAUCUCCUUUUUGUUUUGCCGUGAAGAUUGCAGCUUCUUUUUCAAUUGCUUGUCUAGACUUUGAAACAAGCUAGAAGUCAGCAGCUUAAUUGUUUCUUUUGUUUAAAGCUUCACUAGCUGUCAAACUCGUCCGCUAUUUUUCUUGAGAUAAAAGGUUUUUAAUAUUACAUAAA